AUGAGUCAUAACAAACUGAAGACACACAAAAAAGAAAAAAAGAAAAAAAACAAACAAAAAA
rnacentral:sRNA from 1 species